rnacentral:misc_RNA from 1 species
UGGUUCUGGCAUCGAUGAAGAACGCAGCGAAAUGCGAUAAGUAAUGUGAAUUGCAGAAAUCGUGAAUCAUUGAAUCUUUGAACGCACAUUGCGCCCCGGGGUAUUCCCCGGGGCAUGCCUGUUCGAGCGUCAUUUCAGCCUCAAGCUCUGCUUGGUAUUGGUGGUUCGCCCCGGCGGGGUGACACCGAAAGAUAGCGGCAAGGCCGCCGGGCUCUAGGUGCAGUAAUGAAACGUCGCCUGGAUUGCCCUGGCCGGUCGUCGCCGGCAAAGCGUGCAGAAAUGCAACUGUUGACCUCGGAUCAGGUAGGGAUACCCGCUGA